GAAAAGUACAGUAUUGUUGUCGGAAUUAAAAAACACUUUGCCUUAUCAUCUAAAACCCAUCGAGAGUUAAUAAGAAAAACCUUUCAAAAAUGGCUCUUGUUCAAUCCAGAACUCUUCCUCGCCUCACCGUCCCCUUCUCGCCGAUUCUGUCCACACUCCACGCACCGUCGUCUCUCUUUCUCCGGAGGGAAAUUGGACCGGUAGCCUCGCCGUUCUCGUCCUCCACCGCCGGGAGCUUUCCCCUCUCGCCGCUGACGCAUCCAAGGAAGAUUAUCUGCCCUCCACCUCGCGGCAAGUUUGUUAGAGAAGAUUAUCUUGUGAGGAAACUGUCAGCUCAAGAACUUCAAGAACUGGUGAAAGGAGAGAGGAAGGUGCCGUUGAUUGUUGAUUUUUAUGCUACUUGGUGUGGACCUUGUAUCUUGAUGGCCCAGGAACUCGAAAUGCUUGCAGUAGAGUAUGAGAGCAAUGCAAUGAUUGUGAAAGUUGAUACAGAUGAUGAGUACGAGUUUGCUCGCGACAUGCAGGUUCGGGGAUUACCUACAUUGUUCUUCAUCAGCCCUGACCCAAGCAAAGAUGCAAUCAGGACAGAAGGGCUGAUUCCAAUACAGAUGAUGCGUGACAUCAUUGACAACGACAUGUGAAGUCUUGUACUGAGGAAACACUUUCUUGCUUUAGGAUUGAAUAGAAUCGCGGAAUGUAGGAUUGAAGAAUGUCAUCUUGGUUUCAUGGAUGAAGAAUGAAAUUGUAAAACGAGAUGAAUAUAACUAAGUAAGAAAAUCUUAUAUGUAUGCGCACUAUGGAGUGUUGGUUUUGGUGCAGCCUUCUUAACUUUGAACUUUUUAUUUUUAUCAACAAGUUUUGUCAGA